GGUGUGUGUGUGUGUGUGUAUUUAUAUAUAUAUAUUUGUAAAUAGCCCUGGAGGACCCCAUUCCCACGCCGGCCCACCUCGCCCCCAAUAUAUACACACACACACACACACACACACA